GACGAACGCUGGCGGCGUGCUUAACACAUGCAAGUCGAACGGAAAGGCCCUGCUUUUGUGGGGUGCUCGAGUGGCGAACGGGUGAGUAACACGUGAGUAACCUGCCCUUGACUUUGGGAUAACUUCAGGAAACUGGGGCUAAUACCGGAUAGGAGCUCCUGCUGCAUGGUGGGGGUUGGAAAGUUUCGGCGGUUGGGGAUGGACUCGCGGCUUAUCAGCUUGUUGGUGGGGUAGUGGCUUACCAAGGCUUUGACGGGUAGCCGGCCUGAGAGGGUGACCGGCCACAUUGGGACUGAGAUACGGCCCAGACUCCUACGGGAGGCAGCAGUGGGGAAUAUUGCACAAUGGGCGGAAGCCUGAUCAGCAACGCCGCGUGCGGGAUGACGGCCUUCGGGUUGUAAACCGCUUUCGCCUGUGACGAAGCGUGAGUGACGGUAAUGGGUAAAGAAGCACCGGCUAACUACGUG
rnacentral:rRNA from 1 species